rnacentral:rRNA from 1 species
GAUGAACGCUGGCGGCGUGCCUAAUACAUGCAAGUCGAGCGAACGGACGAGAAGCUUGCUUCUCUGAUGUUAGCGGCGGACGGGUGAGUAACACGUGGAUAACCUACCUAUAAGACUGGGAUAACUUCGGGAAACCGGAGCUAAUACCGGAUAAUAUUUUGAACCGCAUGGUUCAAAAGUGAAAGACGGUCUUGCUGUCACUUAUAGAUGGAUCCGCGCUGCAUUAGCUAGUUGGUAAGGUAACGGCUUACCAAGGCAACGAUGCAUAGCCGACCUGAGAGAGUGAUCGGCCACACGGGAAGUGAGACACGGUCCAGACUCCUACGGGAGGCAGCAGUAGGGAAUCUUACGCAGUGGGCGAAAGCCUGACGGAGCAACGCCGCGUGAGUGAUGAAGGUCUUCGGAUCGUAAAACUCUGUUAUUAGGGAAGAACAUAUGUGUAAGUAACUGUGCACAUCUUGACGGUACCUAAUCAGAAAGCCACGGCUAACUACGUG